GAUGAACGCUGGCGGCGUGCUUAACACAUGCAAGUCGAACGGUGAAGCAGGAGCUUGCUCUUGUGGAUCAGUGGCGAACGGGUGAGUAACACGUGAGCAACCUGCCCCUGACUCUGGGAUAAGCGCUGGAAACGGCGUCUAAUACUGGAUAUGUGAUGUGACCGCAUGGUCUGCAUCUGGAAAGAAUUUCGGUUGGGGAUGGGCUCGCGGCCUAUCAGCUUGUUGGUGAGGUAAUGGCUCACCAAGGCGUCGACGGGUAGCCGGCCUGAGAGGGGGUCCGGCCACACUGGGACUGAGACACGGCCCAGACUCCUUCGGGAGGCAGCAGUGGGGAAUAUUGCACAAUGGGCGGAAGCCUGAUGCAGCAACGCCGCGUGAGGGAUGACGGCCUUCGGGUUGUAAACUUCUUUUAGCAGGGAAGAAGCGAAAGUGACGGUACCUGCAGAAAAAGCACCGGCUAACUACGUGCCAGCAGCCGCCGUAA
rnacentral:rRNA from 1 species